CGGCAGGGGGGAGGCAGGGAUGAGGUUGGAGCGGGGUGUGGGGCUCUGUGUGGCCGCGGGAGCCUCCUGGUGCCAUCCAGAAGGUGGCCUGAAGGACAGUGGGGACGUUGAGGGGGUCACUGGGGGGGUGGAAGAAAGGGGAGAGGUGGAAGUUCAUGAGGAGCCCCCAAACCAUGGCACUGCUGUGGCCCUAAGAGGAGGGUGACCUGGAGGGGACAGAGUGUGGGAGCCCCACAGAAUGGGACAAGGAGGUCCUCAGUGACAAGGGUGAGAGCAUGAAAUGGGGACCCCACGGGGACUUUGAUAGGGCAAUCCCUGUAAUGGGGACAGGGUUUGCCAUGAGGUCCCCACCAUGAGGACAAAGCAAAGGAGCCUUCUGCGAUCAUAGUGGCAUUUAGACAGGGUCUCCACCACAGGGAAAAGGCAAGGCAAAGGUUGCCCAGCCGAAAGGCCGGAAUUUUCCAUAGGAUCCUCACCACGGGAACAGUGCAAAAAGUCCUCUGUGACCAGAGGACAUUGAGGUGGCAUCUCUGUGUGUGGAUGAGGGGCUGCCCGUCCCUUCGUGCCCCCCGGCCAUGCUGCCCAGGAGGAAUUUCCCGAGGCUGGGCGCAGGCAGAGGAAAAUGCAUCGCCAGAGAAGAGCAACCGCCAACAUCGACUGAGAGACAGUGCAGUCACCCAUAAAGUAGAAAGCACUACUAAACAGCACUGCAGGGUGUAGUGUUUCCUACUUUAUGGAUGAGUGUACUGUGGGCUACGGAGAAGAGAACGCCGACAGAAACCUCUGUGCCAGCCGCCAUCAUGGAGCUGAAGGCGGGAUGGCAUCAUCCCCACCGCACAGCGGGGAGUGGGGCACCACGUGGCCCUGUCCCCACCGCCUGCUCCGUGGGGUGGCAGUUCCGUGCUGGCCGCCAUGGGAGGGCAGGUAGGUAGCAUGGCCUCUGAUUUGCAUUUUUUUCACCCCAUCUUCAUGUCAAACUCGGCAGAGUCCUGCACGAAGCUGGGGGUGGUGGCCACAUGUGGAUGGGGGCAGGAGGGGGCUGCUGAGCAGCUCUGCACAGCUGCACGAUGACACAGGGGCUGCUAAAUAAAACUCUUUCAGUGUUCGCUU